CAAAUCUUCCACCCAUCCCUUUCACUUUCUUCUCACUCAGUACCAACGCCUCAGUUAAGCUGCUGUCUACAAUAUGUCGAAAUGCGAUGAAUUCAAUAAACUACUGAGUUCGUCUAAUGAUAUCGACAAACAGAAGAUUAUUCAGGCUUCAAAAUUGGCGUUAAAGCUGUGUUUUUCCUCUGACAAGUCCAAACGAGUUGCUUUAAAAAUAACCGCAGAAGGAAUAUAUGAAUUGGAAAUUCAAAAAAUGUCAAGACAACAAAGGCCCAGAGAAACAAGACAACUCUUAGUUAUUCGGAGAUCCGAAAGGGUCCGUAUAAAAGAAACAAGACAACCCUUAGUUAUUCGAAGAUCCGAAAGGGUCCGCAUAAUUAACCAACGUAAUUGCUCAUCUCUUCCCAAAGAACCCAAAAACAAGAGAAGGAGAAUGAAAGAAAGAAAAAAGGAAGUAGAAGCUAGUGAAGCACCUAUAAGAAAAGUUAAGAAAAAUAAACACCCUGAGGAGGCUGACCUUGGAGAAACAAGAAGCAAUCUUAAGAAAAAGAAGGAAGCUGAAGCACCUGCAAGGAAAAGUGGUAAAUAAAAGAAACAGUCUGUGGAAGCUGAGCCCGAAUCAUCUGCAAAGAAAAGUGGUAAUAAAAAGAAACAGUAUGUGGAAGCUGAACCCGAAUCAACCAGAGAAACAAGAAGCAUUCUUAAGAAAAAGAAGGAAGCUGAAGCACCCGCAAGUAAAAGUGGUAACAAAAAGAAACAGUCUGUGGAAGCCGAGCCCGAGUCACCCGCAAAGAAAAGUGGUAAAAAAAAGAAACAGUCUGUGGAAGCUGAGCCCGAGUCACCCGCAAAGAAAAGUGGUAAAAAAAAGAAACGGUCUGUGGAAGCUGAACCCGAAUCAACCGGAGAAACAAGAAGCCAUCUUAAGAAAAAGAAAGAAGCUGAAGCACCCGCAAGGAAAAGUGGUAACAAAAAGAAACAGUAUGUGGAAGCUGAUCCCGAAUCACCCGCAAAGAAAAGUGGUAAAAAAAAGAAAAAGUCUGUGGAAGCUGAACCCGAAUCAACUGUAAGAGGAAGUCUUAAGAAAAAGAUGAAGAAACAUCUUGUGGAAUCAGCUCACAUUGCUACUACCGCACGGACAAGUGGUAACAAAAAGAACUGGUCCGUGGAAGCUGAACCCGAAUCACCGGCAAGGAAAAGUGGUAACAACAAGAAACGGUCUGUGGAAGCCGAACCCAAAUCACCCGUAAGAGGAAAUCUUAAGAAAAAGAUGAAGAAACAUCAUUGUGGAAUCAGCUGAUAUCACUUUGGAAUCAGCUCACAUUGCUACUACUGAAUCUGUUUCUGAGCAAAUUUAUGAGAUCAAUUCUGUAUAUGAUGAAAGUUUCUCGGCUGGAAGUGAGGAAAUAGAUAUGCAAAAUUCAAAAUUGAAUGAUGCUAUUACUAAUCCAGUGGUUGAGCAGCCUGCUGAUGCUAGCACUAAUCUAGUGGUUGUGCAAAGACAUUCUGAGCAAAUAGAUCUGCAAAAUUCUACGUUGAAUGAUGCUACUACUACGCAAGUGAUUGAACAGCCUGCUGAUGCUAGUACUAAUCCAGUGGUUGUGCAAAGACAUUUUGAGCAAAUAGAUAUGCAAAAUUCUACGUUGAAUGAUGCUACUACUACACAAGUGGUUAAACAGCCUGCUGGUGCUACUAUUCCACUAGUGUUUGAGCAAAGACAUCGAAGAAAAACAAAACUGCAUCUAGUGGAACCGGAACCAAAAGACGCACACGAGGAAAGACAUCAAAGACAAGAGAAACGACGUUUCGUGGAUCUACCGGAACAAGACAUUGAACGAAAUAGAAGAUAUAGUAAAAAAAACAAAAAGCAUCAAGUGGAACCAGUAAUCUCUAAUGAUGAACCAACAUCCCCGGCUACUACACAAGUGGUUGAACAGCCUGCUGAUGCUACUAUUCCACAAGUGUUUGAGCAAAGACAUCGAAGAAAAACAAAACUGCAUCUAGUGGAACCGGAACCAAAAGACGCACACGAGGAAAGACAUCAAAGACAAAAGAAACGACGUUUAGUGGAUCUACCGGAACAAGACAUUGAGCGAAAUAGAAGAUAUAGUAAAAAAAACAAAAAGCAUCAAGUGGAACCUUUAAUCUCAAUCUCUAAUGAUGAACCAACAUCCCCGGUUAAUCACCCUUCCAAUACUGUUCAUGUUUCCGAUUACAUUGAUGUGCAAAAUAUCGAGCCAAAUAGAAAGACUUUAGUGGAACCAUCAAUCCUUAAUGGUGAGUCGACAUCCACUCCUGAUAACCCGUUUGAUACUACUGUUCAUGUGCCAUAUAUCGCGCAAGAGACUGAUACGUUCUAUGCUGAGCAAGAGUUUGAUAUGUCCCAUUCCGAAACAAACUCAGAUAUGUCCGAUACUGAAUCGAAGGAGCCCGAUUCUGAUGAUGAGGAUAGAUGCUUAACGGUUUCACUCAUGGUGCCGGAGCUUUCCUCCGAUAUUGUUGAAUCUGAUGUACUUGAAUUUGACCUUACAAUACAAGGAAAGUAUAUUUUGAGCUACGAAACAGACACUCCUUAUAUUGAUCGUUUCUGUUUAAGCCUCAACUUGCAUUUUUCGUUUUAUGAGAUUUAUUCAAAGUGGAAAUAUAUAGUAGAUGGCGGGGACCCUAAGUUUGUAGAGAGCAUUACUGAAGAUUCUUAUUUCCAGGAAUUAGUUGCUCAAGAAAACUUGGUGUUAGAACCAGGACUUUCAGAGAUUUUUUGUGUUCCAAUCACUAUUUUUUUAAAUACCUUGUUGGACGGAGCGGAUAUAAAAAAAGUUAUUGGUGGGGUCAAUAUGAUAUUAGAAGCUUCCGAAAGCGAGCGUAAACUUGUUCAAGUUAAGAAUGUAGAUGACCCGACGGGCAAGCUGUAUGCCAUCAAGUCUAAGUAGCAACUUUAAGCUGUUACGCAGACAUUGAAGGGUAAAUGCGAACCAGGGUGUCCCCGGCCAAGAAGAGGUAUAAAACCCGCAUUUGACACAGCAAUUAGCUAUUUGGGCUCUAGUUAUGUUCCAGGAAUGGAAGUUACAUUAUCAAGCCGACUAAAAAGCCUGUAUAGUAUAUACAGUAAGAUUCUACACAUCCUAAUGCAAUUACUUGACCAAUUUACUUGAGAAUCUCAAAUAAUCUCAAAUACUACGCAAGCCUAGUGGCUAUCAGUCCUUGCACACUGCAGGCUAAGGUCCUGAUAACUCACCUUUAGAAGUACAAAUAAGAACACAGGUGCUAGAUUCUUCCGCACAUGCUUCAGAGAUUGCUUUGUUUGUAGUUUAGUUGCUCAUUUCUAGUUCUCAAUUGUACUGAGCAAGAAGAAUCGGAAUACUGGACUGUUGUAUCUGCUGUUUUUGAGGGUUAGUGGAUAGAUUGCAUCCCAGUCAAAAUUUGACUCGAUUCCAUCAACUUCUAUAGAUGCUAAUAUCAAUAAUAAGGUUUUUGGCUAACCAAUUUAUGUUUCAUAAUAUAAAAAUUAUGCACCAAAAAAUUCGUAACUCCAUCCUAUGUAACUGGUUAUGGUGGAACCAUGAGAAUAUGUUUAUUCUCAUCCUUCUCUCUUAAAUUGGCCAGAGUUCUAGACCAAGUAGGCCAAAGUUUGACCUUCCAACAACAAAAUACUAUAUUGCUCCCUCCAUACCAAUUUAUAAGCAAAACUCUAAUAUUUCAUAUUUAUUAAGUCAAAAAAUUGAUGUCUUUUUAGGGAUAUGUUAUAUAGGAAUGUAAAAACGAUUUUGAUUGGUUGUUGUUUAUGGAU